rnacentral:lncRNA from 1 species
GUUAUAUUUGCUUGUCUUAUCUUAAGCAUAAUACGGGUGACUACAACGAAAGCACUGAUAUAGUUCCGUUUCCUGAAAGGUUCAGGAAAAUGUGUCGAUGAGGUGUUAAAUAAUCCAAGCGAAAUGUCACACCUCUUGAUGAUUCUAUACAACAAUGUAGAUAAUUGGCUUCCAGAGUCUGCUCAGACCUUCCUGGCCAAUCAAUUCAUGCCUUUACUUUUAUUUCACUUAAUUGCGUUCAGAGUCAGCAGGUAGAGCAAAGCCUGUGCAUUAAUUGGAAGUGAUGAACUCAUAUUGAUCGCUGAAAAUUCUUUAGCAAAAAUAGCCUUUUAAAUAUAACCGCGUGAACUAAUAUAAUUAACGUAUAAGCGGUGAAUAUAGAUAGUACAAAAGACUUCAGGUCAAUGUCACAACGAGUUGGUGAAAUAAUUGUUCGUAUUUUCUAAAGAACAUACGUAGAGUAAUUACACGUGUAAUACAUGUCAACCAAUAUUUAAGACUUCACGAAAUAAUAAUGUGGGAAAAAUACGUAAGCAGCGGUGCAGAUGUGGUAAAAUUUUACUUCGUGCUAAAUUAUUAGGAGCAUUCGUCUCACGAUAUAAAGAUUUUUACUGGCAAUAAAGCUUUCAAUACUUUUUUACUUUCAAUUUUUAAUCGCAUUUCUCUCAUCCGUUAGGAGCUAAAGGUAAAUUUAGAUCUCAUCCUCGUUUACAUCUUGACAGAAAAGCAGUGACAGUAUUUUGAAAAGUAUACCACAAUUCCGAGUUGGCAACUCUAAGAACUACCUCGUGUUGAUCAGAUCUUUCUCUAUCAGAAUCAAGUGUCAGACCUUUCCUGAGGUGAUGGGUGAACGAAACUUGUUUUUUUCGAUAUCUGCUCCCAGAGUGAGACCAGUUGUAACUGUCAGCAGGUGCCAGCAAGUAGAAUUGAACAAAAAAAAUUGGUCCGAUUUUCCCCGAAUUGUGCGUUUCUGACGCGAUUUGAGGCUUAUCAUGCAAAAUUGCAUCAUUGCGUAUUAUGUUAAAGGUCUUUUACUUUAUGGUAUUUGGCAGAAAAAAGAAAUAGAAAGAAGAAAAAAUAAAUUUUCGAAGCAAAAUAAUUAAAUCGAAGUAUGUCACCGUAAGGUGUCGAACAGGCGACCUCAACUUUCGCGCCAACUUUCUAGUGACUGGCGUGGCUCGUGAGGUAUUACUUGAAAAGGUCUUACUUAGUUGAUUUAUAUGUCCGUUAACAUUGAGCUUUACCAGCCAUAUGCCAGAGUUGAUUUUUGACAAUCGAAAAGUUUGUCAAUUAUCAACUCCUAGGUGUAACUAAAAGUGAUGUUACUUCGUUACUGACAAACCCGUUGACAUGGAGUUUCACAAACUAUAUGCCAGAGUAGAUAAUUGACACAAAAAACAACAAACCAGUCAUUCUUGGUCAGUAAAGCUCAGAGAGUAAGGGAAUAAGAGAAACGUACUUGUGCCUAGUCUUUAAUAAGUACAGGAAGCAGCUCAUAACCAGUGCUUGUUAUUUUAUUAUUUUUCUAGCUACACCCACGACAGUGCAAAUUGAAUCUGAAUAAAUAAUUUGGAAAUAGAGGCUAUAAUAUAUUCCAGAACAAAGCUAACCAAUAAACAAAUCACGAGUCAACUGCAGGUUAAAAAACUAUCUAUAUGAUCUAGCUUUCAUUGACCCCCUCAAAGAAUUAUCAACCCGUUGAGAGAUUUUAACCAUAUGCAUCAAAA